CACCAAGGCGACGAUCAGUAGCCGACCUGAGAGGGUGAUCGGCCACAUUGGGACUGAGACACGGCCCAAACUCCUACGGGAGGCAGCAGUGGGGAAUAUUGCACAAUGGGCGAAAGCCUGAUGCAGCAACGCCGCGUGAAGGAUGAAGGGUUUCGGCUCGUAAACUUCUAUCAAUAGGGAAGAAAGAAAUGACGGUACCUAAAUAAGAAGCCCCGGCUAACUAC
rnacentral:rRNA from 1 species